UUAAAGCAUUGUGUUUACGUCAUUAACCAAGAAUGUUUUGAUGAAAUUAAUUUAAACGAAAGUUUAGACAAAGAUACAAAAUGUACAAUCAUAUAAGGACUUGAACUAAAUAAAAAAUAAUAAUGACAAUAUGUCAAUUAUUGACAGUGUUUUAAAAUUGAUGAGAGAAAAAGAGCGAGAUAGAGAGAGAAAGAGAGAGGUAACACCGCGCCAAUGUGAAAAAAAAAAAACAAUAUGACCGAGAAAGAAAAUUUUUUACACAAGAACCAAUCAGAGCUGCCAGUCACUUGCCCGGGAAAUUUCAAGUAUUGAUUAAUCCAAAAUAAAGAGGAAAAAAAUUUAGAGGAAUAAAAAAAAAAAUAUAUUUGCAUACAAUGGAAUUAUUAUUAUUUUUUUUUUUUUUCACAUUCAAAACAUUUUAUUCAGUCAGUAAGAAGCUCUCUACAUAUCAUCAAUAAGAAUAAUAAUAAAGAUUUACACUCACUCAUACAUUAACUGAUAAAUAAUUUUAAUUAUUUAACCAUGUUUCAAAUUUAUUUUAUUUUUUUUGUUUUUCUCAAUUUUUAUUAUUAAUCAAAGUAUAUAUUACAAAUACUGUGGCAUAUUAGUAAUUAACUUUGAAUAUUUUUAAAAUUGAAAAAAACAAAAUUGAAGACGAGAAAUUAUCUAAACACAAUUAGAAAAUGUUUUUUUUUUUUUUUUUUCUUCGUUAGUUUUUUUUCUUAUUUUUAUUUAUAAUUUAUCAUAAUCAUAUCAUGAUUACUUUGGCAACAUUUAUCAAUUUAUUUAUUUUUUUUUUUUUACAAUUUAUCUGGUUUUUUUUUUGUUUAAAUUUUUUUAACUUGAGUUUUUAAAAAAUUUAAUUGUGGCUCAAUUGUACCCAUCGUCAAAGGCGCAUUAUUGUUAAAUUAAAAAAUUAUUAGCUUGCUGAUUGGCACGGUGUUUAAGCAGUCUUGAAGAUAAUAAACUGUAUUUUUUUUUUUCUUUUAUUAAUUAUUUUUUUUUUCUAUUUGUAACAACUAAAAACAUUGAUCUAUAAAAAACAUAUUUUUUAUUAUUUAAACUUGAUUGAUUGAGGUAGUGUAAUUUAAUAUAAAC